UGGCUCAGUUCAGAUCGUAGGCUGCAACUCGCCUACGUGAAGUAGGAAUCGCUAGUAAUCGCAGGUCAGCAUACUGCGGUGAAUACGUUCCCGGGCCUUGUACACACCGCCCGUCACACCAUGGAAGUUGGCCAUGCCCGAAGUCGUUACUCCAACCCUUGUGGAGGAGGACGCCGAAGGUGGGGCUAAUGACUGGGGUGAAGUCGUAACAAGGUAGCCGUACCGGAAGGUGCGGCUGGAUCACCUCCUAACAGGGAGACAACAAAAUGUUUAAUAUUAAUUUUGUCACCUUAGGUCGAUCGGUAUCUCACAUUCUUAAAAUUUUAAGGAUUUCAUUUUUCUAAGUUUUUUCUAGGUCACACCCACUACUUUCCUGGGCCAUUAGCUCAGGUGGUUAGAGCGCACCCCUGAUAAGGGUGAGGUCCCUGGUUCAAGUCCAGGAUGGCCCAUAUCUCUAUGUUGGGGGUAUAGCUCAGUUGGUAGAGCGCCUGCUUUGCAAGCAGGAUGUCAGCGGUUCGAGUCCGCUUACCUCCACUGAUUACCACCUCUUCCAUAAUGCAUAAAUAAGGAAAUGUUUUAAGGUGUGAUCAAAUUCUGAACGAAUCUAGCCUCUUAAUUUUUAUUAGGAUGCUGGACUCAUUGAAUUAAUUUCAUUGUUUUCAGAGAACCUUGACAACUGCAUAGAUUAUUUUUAAAGACAAUAAGCAUCUUUAAUGAUGCAGAUUUAUUAUUUGUGCGAAU
rnacentral:misc_RNA from 1 species